CCUUAGACACCAGAUUUAGAUUUCAGAGGGAGUAAGUUGAUUCCUGCUGCCAAGCUUCAAUAGGUAAGCUUCGACUUAUGUUUUCUCCAUUUCAUUCUUGUUUCUCCUGCAUUUGUAAAGAAAAACAUUUGCAAUUUCAGCUAUCUUUCUCAUUGAAUACAAUAGCAACAGGCAGCCAAACACCAAACUUCACGAGGUAAAUACUAAGCUCAGCUUAUUCAAAUCCAGUGCAUGCAUCAUACCAUCAAUCACAUGUUUGAAUAAAGAUACAGAGUAUACAGAUGAGUGUAUGCAUAAAGGGACUUAGCAAUCACAGGAAGUUAGUUUAUAUACAUGUUCUUCAUGAGACAAAUGCAUUAAGAACUCUUAUCAAACAGAUGCAAUCACAUGCCUAGUAUUGAUAUCUCGCAUUUAGUAAUAUAGGAGCCAAGAGAGUUGAGUUAUGAACUGCCAAAAACUAGAAGUUCUUCUUCACAGUAGAGUAUUACUGGACUUAGCAUUUAGGAGGGGAGAGAGGC
rnacentral:lncRNA from 1 species